UACGUAGGGACCAAGCGUUGUUCGGAUUUACUGGGCGUAAAGGGCGCGUAGGCGGCCAUUCAAGUCGGGGGUGAAAGCCUGUGGCUCAACCACAGAAUUGCCUUCGAUACUGUUUGGCUUGAGACCGGAAGAGGUAAGUGGAACUGCGAGUGUAGAGGUGAAAUUCGUAGAUAUUCGCAAGAACACCAGCGGCGAAGGCGGCUUACUGGUCCGGUUCUGACGCUGAGGCGCGAAAGCGUGGGGAGCAAACAGG
rnacentral:rRNA from 1 species